GUAGGUGAACCUGCGGAAGGAUCAUUAUCGUGAAUCCACACGUAUUUACUUUUUGUGAAUCGUCUAAUUGUUGUUUGUUUUUGUUUGGAUUGGACGGAUCAUUCUUUUCAAACAAACAAAACAAACACAACACAUUAAAACUAUUAACCACUUGUAACCUUUUAAUUGUACUGAACACAAAUAAGCUCGUUUUUGCUCUGUCUUCGGAUAGACUAAAGACAAGUUUACGAUACGAAAUUGCUGAACUACUCUUAGCAACGGAUAUCUUGGUUCUC
rnacentral:misc_RNA from 1 species